AUUGAACGCUAGCGGGAUGCCUUACACAUGCAAGUCGAACGGAGUGGCGAACGGGUGAGUAAUGUAUCGGAACGUGCCCAGUAGCGGGGGAUAACUACGCGAAAGCGUAGCUAAUACCGCACACCAUUGGAGCGGCCGACAUCGGAUUAGCUAGUUGGUGGGGUAACGGCUCACCAAGGCGACGAUCCGUAGCUGGUCUGAGAGGACGACCAGCCACACGGGGACUGAGACACGGCCCAGACUCCUACGGGAGGCAGCAGUGGGGUAUUUUGGACAAUGGGGAGACCCUGAUGCAGCCAUCCAGGGAGAGCGAUGGAGGCCUUCGGGUUGUAAAGCACUUUUGGCAGGAAAGCGGUGCCUGCAGAAUAAGCACCGGCUAACUACGUGCCAGCAGCCGCGGUAAUAC
rnacentral:rRNA from 1 species